rnacentral:sRNA from 1 species
UGACCAGUCUCUUAUUUUUUCAGAGGCUCAAGGCCAUGCGGACAGCCGGGUCAAACUGCCGA